rnacentral:rRNA from 1 species
CUCCUGCUUAACACAAGUUGAGUAGGGAAAGUUUUUCGGUGUAGGAUGAGACUAUAUAGUAUCAGCUAGUUGGUAAGGUAAUGGCUUACCAAGGCUAUGACGCUUAACUGGUCUGAGAGGAUGAUCAGUCACACUGGAACUGAGACACGGUCCAGACUCCUACGGGAGGCAGCAGUAGGGAAUAUUGCGCAAUGGGGGAAACCCUGACGCAGCAACGCCGCGUGGAGGAUGACACUUUUCGGAGCGUAAACUCCUUUUCUUAGGGAAGAAUUCUGACGGUACCUAAGGAAUAAGCACCGGCUAACUCCGUGCCAGCAGCCGCGGUAAUACGGAGGGUGCAAGCGUUACUCGGAAUCACUGGGCGUAAAGGGCGCGUAGGCGGAUUAUCAAGUCUCUUGUGAAAUCUAAUGGCUUAACCAUUAAACUGCUUGGGAAACUGAUAGUCUAGAGUGAGGGAGAGGCAGAUGGAAUUGGUGGUGUAGGGGUAAAAUCCGUAGAUAUCACCAAGAAUACCCAUUGCGAAGGCGAUCUGCUGGAACUCAACUGACGCUAAGGCGCGAAAGCGUGGGGAGCAAACAGGAUUAGAUACCCUGGUAGUCCACGCCCUAAACGAUGUACACUAGUUGUUGGGAUGCUAGUCAUCUCAGUAAUGCAGCUAACGCAUUAAGUGUACCGCCUGGGGAGUACGGUCGCAAGAUUAAAACUCAAAGGAAUAGACGGGGACCCGCACAAGCGGUGGAGCAUGUGGUUUAAUUCGAAGAUACGCGAAGAACCUUACCUGGGCUUGAUAUCCUAAGAACCUUAUAGAGAUAUGAGGGUGCUAGCUUGCUAGAACUUAGAGACAGGUGCUGCACGGCUGUCGUCAGCUCGUGUCGUGAGAUGUUGGGUUAAGUCCCGCAACGAGCGCAACCCACGUAUUUAGUUGCUAACGGUUCGGCCGAGCACUCUAAAUAGACUGCCUUCGUAAGGAGGAGGAAGGUGUGGACGACGUCAAGUCAUCAUGGCCCUUAUGCCCAGGGCGACACACGUGCUACAAUGGCAUAUACAAUGAGACGCAAUACCGCGAGGUGGAGCAAAUCUAUAAAAUAUGUCCCAGUUCGGAUUGUUCUCUGCAACUCGAGAGCAUGAAGCCGGAAUCGCUAGUAAUCGUAGAUCAGCCAUGCUACGGUGAAUACGUUCCCGGGUCUUGUACUCACCGCCCGUCACACCAUGGGAGUUGAUUUCACUCGAAGCCGGAAUACUAAACUAGUUACCGUCCACAGUGGAAUCAGCGACUGGGGUGAAGUCGUAACAAGGUAACCGUAGGAGAACCUGCGGUUGGAUCACCUCCUUUCUA